CACCACAUCGGUAAAAGUACGUAGUAUUGUGUUCCAGAGGACCAAUUACAGUAUGGUGUAUCUUUCCUGAGCUAUAUAACAUAUAACUAUAAGAGGUGUACUCUCCUUCAGCUACGGUGUCGUAUCUACCAGGUGAUGUGCCAUAUUCUACAUAUGAAGGUGAGCUUUUAUCAUCGGUUAUCCAGGUAACUCUCAUGUGCUUGUUUCCUGCCAGAGAAAUAUGUACCUGAAAUAGAAAAUUCUGCAUCUAAGUUUCUGACAUUUAAAAGGGUACAAUAAAUGAACAUGAACAUGAACGGAGAGGCUGAUAGUUGUCCCAGAAUUCACAAAUAAUUAACAAAAAGUGAAGCCAACUAUUUUAAGUUUAAAUAAUAAGCAAAUGAAAUAAGAUGUCUCGUUUGAAGAUUUGUGACUUAGAGGUCAAGCCCUUUAUGCAACAAAAUAAAUGAAACAAACAUUAUAAUCGCACACAAGUGUCUAAAGAUUAGUGAAUGCUAUUUGAACUUCAUCAGUGGAGAAAACCUUACAGGUUUAUAACUUGAACAUAGAUAUAUGAUAGAAGAACUCACUCUUAUACCAUUUUAAGAUGGUGAAAAUGGUUUUUACAUUGUACUCUUAGAGAAAUUGUUGCGGUGAGCAGAAUCUGAGAGUAGCUGUCUUUAUGAAAGUACUAAAGAGUUGAACUCUAAACUCUACUCUUUCUAUCAAAGGAUCAUCAAAGCAAUAAAGUGACUCUGAGUAUAUAAAAUCUAUAUCCAAAUAAUUGUCACAGAUUUGGAUUGAUGGAAUACAUUUCAAAAGAGUAAUAUUUGCAUGAACAUAGCAUCAGUGUCACUGUUGGUCUCAAAACCAUUGCUCGUAUAUUAAAAGGGUGGCCGAGUGCACGAGAGACUCACACCUAAUAUGGUUUUGGAAGGGUAGAUGUAUCGCAAGCAAAAAUACUGUUUUCAGGUCCACACAUUGAUGAGUCAAAUUCAUUUAAAUUUAUUCAAAAUUUAGAAUUUUUUGGAACCAUGGUUCGGAACUAUGCAAUAAUUUAUAGUUUAUUAAGCAUAAGCAAUCACAGGUAUUCAAUAAUCAUUAUAAUUUAAACAAUAAUAAAAAGCAUAAUUUAAAACUAAAACAAUACUACAUCAUAAUAUUACACAAUCCUAUCCGAAAGUAUAGAAAAUCGUUUACAAUUCAUGAUAAUGAUAAUAAGAUAGAAGAGAGAUUGGUAUGGUUUAACCUGAUGAGGGUGAUUGGAGUGUGGCUUUGAAAAUGGAAGCCAUGAUGAGAUUUGUAAUGGUUUUCGAGGCAUAGGGCGAACAUAUUUUGCUGUUACAGUUGCACAGAGUAAUAAUAUCACAACCAACUUCAGUUCCAUCUCUCUGUGUAUCCUGUCUUCAACUUUCUGUGAUAUAUUUCCAAAUUUGACGCUAUUUCGUUUAUCCCUAGGAUAUUUUUUGUUUUAAGGUUUUUAAUUAUGUUUCGUCUAGUAAAUGAACUUAUCAAACAAACGAUUUUUUUGUUCAAGUAGCCUAUGUUUAAUUCCCUUGAGCAAUGUAUCGGAUUCGAGUUUUUUAUAUGGAAAAAAUACUCGUUAGAAGAGUUAGUCUUAAAUGUACGUGUGUGAAUGUUCUCGACUCGGACAUCUUAUGUGAAACAAAAAAAUAAGUUUAUCAACAACUGUUGGUUAGUAUAAGGCAGCUAAAUUUGAAGAUGGUCAAAAGGUUAAAAGAAGCAAGCCACUAACCCGAAAAAAAUUAGUUUUAUUGGGAAUACUUGAAAUAUGUUAUUGUAUUAAUCCCACAUUGACUAGUAUUAAAAUAAAGUAGAAUAUCAAUGUUAUAUAUUGGACUCAAAUUCUUAUUGUAAUGUCCAUCAUAUAUAAGCAUCCAAUAUAAAAAAGUAAAGUUAUAAACAAUAACAACUAAAAUCCUAGAUAAUGUAAUGCAGACUUUUUGAAAAAAAAAAGUGUUUUUCUUAGCAUUUUAUAUAUUAUUUUAAAAAAUAAGAUUAGCUACAUUUUUUUUUUUGUUAUCAAUAUUAGCUACUUUGUUAUUAUUUAAAUAGUCGAUCAUCCCAACCAUAUAGUCAUUUCAUAUAUUAUGUCGUUUGUUUUUUUAACAUUUAAUUUUUGUUUUUAAAAUUUUUCUUCUUUGUUGUUUUAUUACUUGUUUCCUGUUGCAAAAAUUAUAUGAAAAUAUAGAGUGGUACACAAAAAUUGGAAAGAAUAAAUAAAGAAUGUGUUUAGACAUUUAGUGAUAUAUUUAUCUAUAUUUAUACUUAUCUAUACUUAUUAUAAAGCCAAAGUCAAAAAUGGUCUAACCACCUAUCAUAGAUUAAUUUAUAAUUCCUCAUUUUCCCUUCCCAAUUUUCUAUUUUCUACAAAAACAAAAAAACCAUAUAAUCUAAUGUUCAUAUCCCUAUUAUUAUAUGUCCCAUAUUAUUUUCUUAAUUAUGUAUUCUUCUAAAUUUUGUAACCACGACAUUUUUUCUUUACUUACCGAACAAAAAAUAUUUUGUAAUGAAAUUUAUCUUUUAACUGUGUUCUCACGACUUCAAUAUUCAAUAACAACGCUAUAUAAAGAUGAUUUUUUUCUCAAUUUCAUCAUACCAAAGAAAAAUCAUUAAUUGAGUUAUAAUAUUUACCCUUGUACUAGCAAGUGGCUCAACUAGCUCACCAAAUGUGUCCCAUAGAUGUUGCAUUCGAUCGGCAUAUGAAAGAUCUCCUGGAAGCAAGUAAACAUCAUAGUUACAUUGGUCAAUGUGAUCUAAUGUUGAUUUAGUCCAACCAGUUUGACCAAGAUCCCCAGCCACAGCAAAAGUAACUGGAAAUUGAGCUGGAGGAGUUUUAAGUUGGAACUCAGGACCAUAUCCACCACAUCGGUAAAAGUACGUAGUAUUGUGUUCCAGAGGACCAAUUACAGUAUGGUGUAUCUUUCCUGAGCUAUAUAACAUAUAACUAUAAGAGGUGUACUCUCCUUCAGCUACGGUGUCGUAUCUACCAGGUGAUGUGCCAUAUUCUACAUAUGAAGGUGAGCUUUUAUCAUCGGUUAUCCAGGUAACUCUCAUGUGCUUGUUUCCUGCCAGAGAAAUAUGUACCUGAAAUAGAAAAUUCUGCAUCUAAGUUUCUGACAUUUAAAAGGGUACAAUAAAUGAACAUGAACAUGAACGGAGAGGCUGAUAGUUGUCCCAGAAUUCA
rnacentral:lncRNA from 1 species